AUACUUACUGGGCCAGGGAGAUGCCAUGAGCACGAAGGUGUUUUCCCAGGGAGAAGCUUAUUCAUCACACUCCGGAUGUGCUGACCCCUGCGAUUUCCCCUGAAUUCAGAAAACUCCAUGGCAUAAUUAGUAGUCGUGGGGGACUGCGUUCACACUCUCAGG